UAAAUGUCCCUGACAACCAGCUGCUGCCCAUGGCAACCAAAAUGAUUCUAUGAAGAUGACAAAAAUUUGAAGAGUUCCUAGGUAGAAUGGGCCCCUCCUCCUCAAAACUGCAGCCAUGAAGGUCAAGAAGAUGUUGCUGACUGACUUGCUGCCUCCCUGUGGACCAACAAGACAUCACUGGAUCCCUGGUGGGCAGAGCAAGCCUAAGAUCACCUUAUGAGGAUGAAGGUGUACAAGUUUGUGUGCAGAACAACAUGCAUCUCAGGGUACUAAGGAAGCUGACUGAAGUGGUCACUGAGCUGAUCUCCAUCAUAUAUGAAAAGUCAUGGCUGUCAGACGAAGAUCUCAGUGACUGGAAAAAGGGAAACUUCACUCCUACUUAAAAGAAUGGGAGGAAGGAAGACCCGGGGGAAUUACAGGCUGGUGAGCCUCACCUCUGUGCCUGCGAAGUUCAUAGAACAGAUCCUCUUAGAAGACAUGUUAAGACACAUGAGGGACAAGCAGGUGAUACAAAACAAUUAACAUGGCUUCACCAAGGGAAUUUUGUGCCUAACCAAUCUG
ensembl:lncRNA